UACGUAGGGUGCGAGCGUUAUUCGGAAUUAUUGGGCGUAAAGGGCGUGUAGGCGGCCAGAUAAGUCAGAGGUGAAAGCCCGGGGCUCAACCCCGGAAGUGCCUUUGAAACUAUCUGGCUUGAGUGCGGGAGAGGAAAGCGGAAUUCCCAGUGUAGAGGUGAAAUUCGUAGAUAUUGGGAGGAACACCGGUGGCGAAGGCGGCUUUCUGGACCGACACUGACGCUGAGGCGCGAAAGCGUGGGGAGCAAACAGG
rnacentral:rRNA from 1 species